rnacentral:tRNA from 1 species
CGCGCAGGUGGCGGCGGCGAACGGGCCGUGCGUGCGGGCGUAUCGCGCGACCAGAUCGCCCAGCGGGUCGGGCACCGGUUCGAGGUAAGCCUCCGCGAC